rnacentral:lncRNA from 1 species
UGGCCACAUGGCCUCCCCAGGUGUUCCGUGGGCACUCCGGAGUCCGUGUGCCCAAGGUGGAGCUCUCGGGCCACCCUCCCGGCUUCUCCCCCGUGUCCGCAGGUGGCUGCCCCACACUCUGGAAGCUGAGGCCCAAAGCCCUGGUGCUGCUGGUGCUCCAGGUUCAUGUCCACCUCUUGCCCUUCAGGCCUGACCCUCAGCACAGGCGCCACCUUCAGCCCGUCCAGGCCACCCCGAGGACCUCAAAUGUCCCCGCCCAGCUGAGCACCUGGCCUGAAGUCGAAUCUCAUGGUCUACAUGUGAUGUGGCUCCUUGUGAUUGGGAGACACAAGAAAGACAAGUUCCAGUCCCCAAAACCCCACGUACUCCGAUAGCACAGGCAGGGCUGCUGCCUUCACGAGGGAGGAAAGCAGCCACGUGGCGUCUGAAUUACACGCAGCAGGUGUCCUCGCUCUUAACUAGAGCGAGGAUGCACCUCUCCCGGGUCAUCAUGCUCCGGGGGCAGGUUCACACUCCCUGUCAUGCUCUGGCUCUCAGCUCUGUCCCGGGACCUCCUCUUUCCCUCCUCAGCCGCUUCUGAGGAGGGCAUUAGAGAGUGCGCCCUUCAUGGUGGGUGAGUGGCGGCCUCAGCUGUGUCUGUGAGCGUCGUAGGUUUCUGCUG